UGGAUGAGUGGCGAACGGGUGAGUAACACGUGAGUAACCUGCCCCCUUCUUUGGGAUAACGCCCGGAAAACGGGUGCUAAUACUGGAUAUUCACUGGCCUUCGCAUGGGGGUUGGUGGAAAGGUUUGUUCUGGUGGGGGAUGGGCUCGCGGCCUAUCAGCUUGUUGGUGGGGUGAUGGCCUACCAAGGCUUUGACGGGUAGCCGGCCUGAGAGGGUGACCGGUCACAUUGGGACUGAGAUACGGCCCAG
rnacentral:rRNA from 1 species